rnacentral:rRNA from 1 species
GACAGAGGGUGCAAACGUUGUUCGGAAUUACUGGGCGUAAAGCGCGUGUAGGCGGCACGGCAAGUCGGAUGUGAAAGCCCGCGGCUCAACCGUGGAAGUGCACUCGAAACUGCCGAGCUAGAGUCUCGGAGAGGAAGGUGGAAUGCUUGGUGUAGAGGUGAAAUUCGUAGAUAUCAAGCAGAACACCUGUGGCGAAGGCGGUCUUCUGGACGAUGACUGACGCUGAGACGCGAAAGCGUGGGGAGCAAACAGG